UACGGAGGGUGCAAGCGUUAUUCGGAUUUACUGGGCGUAAAGGGCGCGUAGGCGGCUUGAUAAGUCAGUCGUGAAAGCCCGGGGCUCAACCCCGGAAGUGCGAUUGAAACUAUUUGGCUUGAGUAUGGUAGAGGGAAGUGGAAUUCCAGGUGUAGCGGUGAAAUGCGUAGAUAUCUGGAGGAACACCGGUGGCGAAGGCGACUUCCUGGACCAAUACUGACGCUGAUGCGCGAAGGUGUGGGUAGCAAACAGGAUUAGAUACCCUGGUAGUCCACACAGUAAACGGUGAUCACUAGGUGUUGCGGGUAUUGACCCCUGCAGUGCCGGAGCUAACGCAUUAAGUGCCCCACCUGGGGACUACGGCCGCAAGGCUAAA
rnacentral:rRNA from 1 species